GACGAACGCUGGCGGCGUGCCUAAUACAUGCAAGUUGAGCGCUGAAGGUUGGUACUUGUACCAACUGGAUGAGCAGCGAACGGGUGAGUAACGCGUGGGGAAUCUGCCUUUGAGCGGGGGACAACAUUUGGAAACGAAUGCUAAUACCGCAUAAAAACUUUAAACACAAGUUUUAAGUUUGAAAGAUGCAAUUGCAUCACUCAAAGAUGAUCCCGCGUUGUAUUAGCUAGUUGGUGAGGUAAAGGCUCACCAAGGCGAUGAUACAUAGCCGACCUGAGAGGGUGAUGGGCCAAAUUGGGACUGAGACACGGCCCAAACUCCUACGGGAGGCAGCAGUGGGGAAUCUUCGGCAAUGGACGAAAGUCUGACCGAGCAACGCCGCGGGAGUGAAGAAGGUUUUCGGAUCGUAAAACUCUGUUGGGAGGGAAGAACGUGGGGGAGAGGGGAAAGGCCAUCAAGGGCGGGUAACUACCCAAAAAGGACCGCUAAAUUACGG
rnacentral:rRNA from 1 species